GCCAGCGUGGCACAGUGGUUUGAGCAUUUGGACUAUGACUCUGGAGACCAGGGUUCAGUUCCCAGCUCAGCCA